rnacentral:rRNA from 1 species
AAGACCUUGCACUUUUGGAGCGGCCGAUGUCUGAUUAGCUAGUUGGUGGGGUAAUGGCCUACCAAAGCUUCGAUCAGUAGCUGGUCUGAGAGGACGACCAGCCACACUGGGACUGAGACACGGCCCAGACUCCUACGGGAGGCAGCAGUGGGGAAUUUUGGACAAUGGGGGCAACCCUGAUCCAGCCAUGCCGCGUGAGUGAAGAAGGCCUUCGGGUUGUAAAGCUCUUUCAGCCGGAACGAAACGGUUACGGUUAACACCCGUGACUACUGACGGUACCGGAAGAAGAAGCACCGGCUAACUACGUGCCAGCAGCCGCGGUAAUACGUAGGGUGCGAGCGUUAAUCGGAAUUACUGGGCGUAAAGGGUGCGCAGGCGGUUUUGUAAGUCAGAUGUGAAKUCCCCGGGCUUAACCUGGGAACU